rnacentral:rRNA from 1 species
GAUGAACGCUGGCGGCGUGCCUAAUACAUGCAAGUCGAGCGAACAGACGAGGAGCUUGCUCCUCUGACGUUAGCGGCGGACGGGUGAGUAACACGUGGAUAACCUACCUAUAAGACUGGGAUAACUUCGGGAAACCGGAGCUAAUACCGGAUAACAUGUUGAACCGCAUGGUUCAACAGUGAAAGACGGUCUUGCUGUCACUUAUAGAUGGAUCCGCGCCGCAUUAGCUAGUUGGUAAGGUAACGGCUUACCAAGGCAACGAUGCGUAGCCGACCUGAGAGGGUGAUCGGCCACACUGGAACUGAGACACGGUCCAGACUCCUACGGGAGGCAGCAGUAGGGAAUCUUCCGCAAUGGGCGAAAGCCUGACGGAGCAACGCCGCGUGAGUGAUGAAGGUCUUCGGAUCGUAAAACUCUGUUAUUAGGGAAGAACAAGUGUGUAAGUAACUAUGCACGUCUUGACGGUACCUAAUCAGAAAGCCACGGCUAACUACG